CUGAUGGACCAGGCAUGUAUGAAGAAGAAGUUGGUCACAUUGAAGCAGGAGAGCAAGGAGUUACAGCGAUAUUUGUUUGAGUUGAACCCGAAUGCUGAAGACGAACAGGAGAAGACCAGCAACCUCCAGACCCAGCAAAAUGUGGUCUCAGGAACUGCAGGAGACAUGGAAUAGGACAGAUCCCAGGAAGACAGCCCCCUGAAGAGUGAGUUUCUCUGUCAGGAGUUCCCUGCUGACGACAAUCCUCAACAGUCAAAGACUUUUUUGGGGAGAAUAUUCUUCUUCUCAAUAACACCAUUUGAGAGACAUCUGAGGGGACUGCCUUGACAUCUCAUGUCCUAGAGGAGAAACAGCACUACAACUGUGUUUCUAAAUGUUCAUUAAGAAAAUGCUGUUAAGAAAUGUUUUUGGUUAUGAUUUUCAUUGAAGUUUUCUUUUUGUUAUAUCAUAGUUAUAUAUUCUUGUAACUGUUUUUCAUUUUUUAUACCAUUUUAGUUGUUCAUUUUAUGCCUG
ensembl:lncRNA